rfam:Hordeum vulgare subsp. vulgare, WGS project CAJW01000000 data, contig: morex_contig_1570209
CAACUACUCCCUCCGUUCAGAAUUACUUGUCGUAAAAAUGUAUAUAAAUAAAUGCAUCUAAAACUAAAAUACAUCUAGAUUUAUUCAAUCUACAACAAAUAUUUCUGGACGGAGAAAGUGUUAU